rnacentral:rRNA from 1 species
GUUUGAUCCUGGCUCAGAACGAACGCUGGCGGCAUGCUUAACACAUGCAAGUCGAACGGGAUCCCGGGCUUCGGCCCGGGUGAGAGUGGCGGACGGGUGAGUAACGCGUGGGAACCUGCCCAUUGGUUCGGAACAACCGCGGGAAACUGCGGCUAAUACCGGAUACGCCCCUGGGGUGACCUUGGGGGAAAGAUUCAUCGCCGAUGGAGGGGCCCGCGUCCGAUUAGGUAGUUGGCGGGGUAAUGGCCCACCAAGCCAUCGAUCGGUAGCUGGUCUGAGAGGAUGAUCAGCCACACUGGGACUGAGAUACGGCCCAGACUCCUACGGGAGGCAGCAGUGGGGAAUAUUGGACAAUGGGGGCAACCCUGAUCCAGCAAUGCCGCGUGAGUGAUGAAGGCCUUCGGGUUGUAAAGCUCUUUUGCCAGGGACGAUGAUGACGGUACCUGGAGAAUAAGCCCCGGCUAACUUCGUGCCAGCAGCCGCGGUAAUACGAAGGGGGCGAGCGUUGUUCGGAAUUACUGGGCGUAAAGGGCGCGUAGGCGGUUUAGCGAGUCAGGCGUGAAAUUCCCGGGCUUAACCUGGGGGCUGCGCUUGAUACUGCUAGGCUUGAAUUCGGGAGAGGAUGGCGGAAUUCCCAGUGUAGAGGUGAAAUUCGUAGAUAUUGGGAAGAACACCGGUGGCGAAGGUGGCCAUCUGGCCCGGGAUUGACGCUGAGGCGCGAAAGCGUGGGGAGCAAACAGGAUUAGAUACCCUGGUAGUCCACGCCGUAAACGAUGAGUGCUAGACGUUGGCGGGCUUGCCCGUCAGUGUCGCAGCUAACGCAUUAAGCACUCCGCCUGGGGAGUACGGCCGCAAGGUUAAAACUUAAAUGAAUUGACGG